rnacentral:rRNA from 1 species
UGAGGAAUCAUAGACAAUGGGGGAGACCCUGAUCUUGCCAUGCCGCGUGGACGAAGAAGGCUCUAGGGUUGUAAAGUCCUUUCGCCGGGGAAGAUAAUGACGGUACCCGGUAAAGAAGCUCCGGCUAACUCCGUGCCAGCAGCCGCGGUAAUACGGAGGGGGCUAGCGUUGUUCGGAAUCACUGGGCGUAAAGCGCGCGUAGGCGGGCUGCAAAGUCGGGGGUGAAAUCCCGGGGCUCAACCUCGGAACUGCCCUCGAAACUAGUGGUCUGGAGUUCGAGAGAGGUGAGUGGAAUUCCGAGUGUAGAGGUGAAAUUCGUAGAUAUUCGGAAGAACACCGAUGGCGAAGGCAGCUCACUGGCUCGGUACUGACGCUGAGGCGCGAAAGCGUGGGGAGCAAACAGGAUUAGAUACCCCCGUAGUCC